UUUAUUCUUCAUUACACAAUUAAUACAGGCAGAAGAUGAGUAGGGAAAUUCCCAGUCCUUGCACUCUUUACUGUGCUCAGCACCACAGCUUCUGGGGAGUGGAUUUAUUUACUACAGCCAGUUUUAUUCUCAUCCACUCUGUGACCUUUGUGGUUGGGAAAUUAGCAGUUAUUAGAAGCAGCUAAAAUAAUACAAGAUAAAAUAAAACAGCCCCAGCAUCAUUAAGCUGCAAUUAUUAUUGAAAUGCGACCUGAAAGGGAUUCCAUCUGUGUGAAACCCUCUCUCUUUAGACACACAGAUAUAGAUAAUAUUUAAAAAUAAACAGGGAGAGCUCUCUCUCUUCCUCUGGAGGUGUAAUUAUACAGAGACAUCAUCUAUACACAGCCACCCUGGGUGUAAACUCCACCAUGCAGAUACAGUAGGCGGUGUAGGCACGAGAAGAAAGUUAUAAACUCUAUUUAAAACACCAUCAUUAUUCAGAGUGUUUGACACCUCCAGUAUUAAGAGCUACAUUUGCAACAAAAUCAUGUUCUGUUUGCUAAUCACUCAAACACCAGUUUCCUACAGCUUCCCCCUCUCCUCCAAGCAGCUGAGAAACCAAGAGGUAUUUCCUGCUUGUCAAUUAAAAGGCAAAGCAGAACUGGCUGUCCUCAAAAUAACCAGUGCAAAUUCCUCUGAGCAGGGUGCUCUGUGAUGAGUCAGCUCCCCCAGGACACAGAAAGCAGCCAUCAGAGGAGCACUUCAAACCCAAAACAAAACAAAAAGGCAAAACUGACCCUGUCCAGCACCACGGGAAUCAGAGAGGCAGCAGCAGGAGCACAUUUCAUAUUGUCUGCUGAUAAACCCCUUCUUCAAAUUUGGCUGUCCUGUGUGAGGUGAGCACACAUCUCUAUCUAAUGUUCCAGUGGAUGCACUUACAGAAAAGACAGGUUUGAGGCACAAAAAAACCCACAGGCGAGGCAAUUUUUAAGCAUCAUUCCAAAGCUGGAAUCAAUUCCCAUCACAGCAAACAGAGGAGGCUCAGAUUGGACAUCAGGAGGAAUUUAUUCCUGGAAAGGGUUGUCAAGAAGGUGUUGGAAUUCCCAUCCCAUGUCCAAGGAAUGAUGGAGGAAGCACUCAGUGCUCUGCUUUAGCUGAAAAAGCAGUCACAGGUUGGACUUGAUGACCUUGCAGGUAUUUUCCAACCCAAAUGAUUCUGGGGCAAUGGUUCUGUGACACCUGAGGCUUUGGGGCUGUGGUUCCAUCCCACUCUGGGCUGGGAUUAAAGGAGCAGCUGCAUCCCACAGACACCUUGCACACAGCAGCAUCUGGGGAGACAGAUGAAAACUCUCCCUUUGUUUGGGGUGAUGAUCUCUCCCAACACAGAGCAAAAAGUGCCUUUGGCCCAGCCCUAGGAUGUCAGCUCUGGGCUGCAGCAAGGACAGCAUCUGGUUCAGGAGGCACUUGCCUGGGUCUCAGUUUAGGUCCAGCUCCUGGAUCUCAGUUUAGAUCCAGCUCCUGGAUCUCAGUUCCUGGGUCCCAGUUAGGUCCAGCUCCUGGAUCUCAGUUUAGAUCCAGCUCCUAGAUAUCAGUUUAGGUCCAGUUCCUGUAUCUCAGUUUAGGUCCAGCUCCUAGAUCUCAGUUUAGGUCCAGCUCCUGUGUCCAGUUCCUAGAUCUCAGUUUAGGUCCAGCUCCUGUGUCCAGUUCCUAGAUCUCAGUUUAGGUCCAGUUCCUGUGUCCAGUUCCUAGAUCUCAGUUUAGGUCCAGCUCCUAGAUUUCAGUUCCUGGAUCUCAGUUUAGGUCCAGCUCCUGGAUCUCAGUUCCUGGGUCUCAGUUUAGGAGCCCUUGGGCUGGGCAAGCAGAAGCAGCAGAUGAAGGUGAGGAUGGAGCCUGCAAGGUUUGCAAUCAGAGCCACACAAGGGGAUGGCAUGGCAGGGGCAGAGAUUUGACCCAAAAUGCCCGUUCCAGUCCUACAUCUCCACACAAUGGGGCAGAGCUCUGCUCCCUGAGCCUUCAACAAGUCCUGAUGUAGCAGUGUGGGCUCAGAAAAGUCCUAAUAUGGAGCAGGUCACAUUUUGGAGAGGACAUUGAUCUACCUCCUUCCUUGACCUGCUGUGGUUUGAAAUGAAGCCAAGGGAAAAAUCAGGAACUAAUCCAGCAGCUCUGGGAAUGAAGCAGAUGGAGAGUUUUUGUUUUUCAUCACAAAGUCCCAACUGUGCAGAAAUAACUGCAGAGAGGUGACUGGCCAUGACCCUCUGGGGACAGCAGGACUGAAAUCAUGGUGACAAGGGGCUCAGAGACAGAGGGAGAAUGGGACACAAUGAAAAAGAGAGAAAAAAUUCUGGCUGAUGCUGAGA